rnacentral:rRNA from 1 species
CCUACGGGAGGCAGCAGUGGGGAAUAUUGGACAAUGGGCGAAAGCCUGAUCCAGCAAUUCCGCGUGUGUGAAGAAGGCCUUCGGGUUGUAAAGCACUUUAGUGGGGGAAGAAACAGCUUGGCCACACCAAGCCUUGACGGUACCCCAAGAAUAAGCACCGGCUAACUCUGUGCCAGCAGCCGCGGUAAUACAGAGGGUGCAAGCGUUAAUCGGAUUUACUGGGCGUAAAGGGUGCGUAGGUGGCUAUUUAAGUCGGAUGUGAAAGCCCGGGGCUCAACCUCGGAAUUGCAUUCGAUACUGAGUGGCUAGAGUUCGGUAGAGGGCGGCGGAAUUUCCGGUGUAGCGGUGAAAUGCGUAGAUAUCGGAAGGAACAUCAAUGGCGAAGGCAGCCGCCUGGGCCUGGACUGACACUGAGGCACGAAAGCGUGGGUAGCAAACAGGAUUAGAUACCCUGGUAGUCCACGCCGUAAACGAUGAGAACUUGACGUUGGUUCGUUUUACGAAUCGGUGUCGCAGCUAACGCGAUAAGUUCUCCGCCUGGGGAGUACGGCCGCAAGGUUGAAACUUAAAUGAAUUGACGG